UUCACACACAGAACCAGGAAGUGACUCCUCAUUUCAGAGAAAACAAACUGUUCUCUUUCUCUCUCUCUCUCUCGUUGUGAGUUCAGGAAAAUGGCCGAGGCCAGUAUUUCAGUAGCUCAGGACCAGUUCAUGUGUCCAGUGUGUCUGGAUCUCCUGAAGGAUCCGGUGACUAUCUCCUGUGGUCACAGUUUCUGUAAGGUGUGUAUUAAUGGCUGCUGGGAUCAGGAGGAUCAGAAGGGCGUCUACAGCUGUCCUCAGUGCAGAGACACUUUCACGACAAGGCCUGUUCUACGCAGAAACAACAUGCUGGAUGAAGUGGUGGAGAAACUGAAGAAGACUGAAGUCCAAGCUGCUUCUCCUGCUCACUGUUACGCUGGACCUAGAGAUGUGGAGUGUGAUUUCUGCACCGGGAGAAAACACAAAGCCAUCAAGUCCUGUCUGACGUGUUUGGCUUCAUUUUGUGAAACUCAUCUGAAACCUCACUAUGAAGUUUCUUCAUGGAAAAAACACACAAUAAUUGAAGCCUCAGCAAAACUCCAAGAGAAGAUCUGCUCUGAACAUGAUGAAGUGCUGAGAAUCUACUGUCGUACUGAUCAAAUAUGUAUUUGCUCUUUGUGCAUGUUGGAGAAACAUAAAGACCAUGACGCUGUUUCAGUUGCAGCAGAAAGAGCUGAGAAACAGAGGAGAGUGUGUGUCUGCCUGUCUGUCUAUGUGCGCUGCUGUCGGUGUGCCCAUAUCAGUCUCAUGGGUAGUGGUGGCUACAGUGGAUGAGACCUGCACAGAAAGACAGGGAGAGAGAAAAACCAAACGCGGAUUGAUAUACAGUCAUUGGCAAAUGCAGUGAUGACAUCUUCCAUGUCCAGUUUCCUUCUCACGGCUUGCUCAAUGGAUAUUACCGCCAGAUCUGACAGUCUCUCCUGACACAUGGUGGACCUGAGAUAUGUCUUGAUUAAUUUCAAGGCAGAAAAACUCCUUUCCCCAGAAGCCACUGUGACAGGAAGUGUGAGGAGUACUCGAAGUGCAAUACUUAUGGUGAUGAUACACGGGGCAACUUUUUGGGCAAUGUUGCCGAGCAAUGUUGCUGGGCAAUUGUGUUUUGACUGUUUUCUAUUGAGAUUGGGCAACAUUGUUUCUUUCUGAAUGGUUUUGAUAAUCUCUGGCAACUUUUUGAGAUAAGCCAAUCAGAACGUGAGUAUCGAGUCAUGUGACCUCCGGUGAGGUUCGGAUCAGAAAUUUCAAACAAAUAUGGCGGCCGCUCAGUGUCAGUGGAGUGAAGAGAUGGAGAGAUUCCUCAUCUGUUUUUACGCCGGUAAGUUGUUAUUUUAAUAUUCUAUAUGGAGGAAUUUACCGGUACCUCACCAAAGCUCUAAAAAACAACAGACAGCUUGAUUAAAUGGUCACAGCAAAAAUUAAGACAUCGAUUUUUUUUUUUAGCUAACUGUAAACUGCCGUUGCUAACUGUUGUUGCCCAUUGUUAGUUGCCCUGAAAAGUUGCCCUGUGUCUCACCUAGUUGCCCAUUGCCAGCAACAUUGCUCGGCAACAUUGCCCAAAAAGUUGCCCCGUGUAUCAUCACCUUUAGAAUAGAUUUGGGUAACAAUCCAGCAGGUUUUCUCUGAAUAUAUAAUUAAGCAUGUCUGUUGGAGAGGAAAUGCAAUCAGGGAAGCCUUUAACUGCAGCUGUUAUCUCGCGUUCUAAAUGAGCACCAUCCUUUUUCCUCUUCCUUUUCCCACUGCCACUUAGAAAUCGUUUCAUUCUGAUUUUACUUUAACAAAACAUUUUACGAGGGCUCUGCAGCUAGAGCUAGAUGGUGCUGGUGCAUGUAUUCAGCCCGCUCGCGUCAUUGCCUAGGUUACUUCAGACACUACGGCUCUGAGGAAGAGCGAAGCCGGAUAGCUGUGCGUGACAUCACGUCACAUACUGGUGGUUUUGCUUGUGAAUCUAGCUGUAGGAUUACACGUGAAUCAUGCUCUAUUGCUUUUAUUAUUUUCGUAGCAGGGCGGCACGGUGGUGUAGUGGUUAGCGCUGUCGCCUCACAGCAAGAAGGUCCUGGGUUCGAGCC